UGUCUUCCCCACACUACAGACAGUGACAACCUAACGACGACGUCUGUCGAGGUUAACAUCGCCGUUACUGACUUUAAACGCAAGUAGACAAAAGCACAGUUGUGUGUGUUUCUUGCUGAACUCGUUGUAUAGAUCUCAAACCAAACGGUCUACCAAUCACGAUGACUAAACAAACACAGUUGUAUCUAGUUGUCGUGUGCUUGCUGCUUUUCAUAACACUGGAAGCAAGAAACAUUCACCACAGCAGUGUGCAUCCUGGAAGGUGCGCCUCGAACGGCGGGUCGUGUCGCGAAUUAGCUUGUUGCAACAGACUGGAUUACGUAUGCGAAAAUAAUAUAUGCACAUAUCGACCAUUAUGCAGAAAGUAGAUGGACGGACCUUCUCAGAGUACAAGCGGACUAAUGUCACCUGCUAUUAUGAAUAUUGGAUGCUGGAUGUACCCAAUAGUAACAACAACAAGAUGCGAAUCUGGGAUGUCAACGAAUAAUCGGAAGUCAUCGCACCAGUAUAAGAUCACCGAGUUCAAAGGUGUCUGUUAAUUUAUUGUAUUUUCAUGCAUUUAAAGGUUUUCACUGUAUUUCUCAAUUGCUCUGUUUGUUCAAGAAAUUCAACAAUAAAGUAAAUUCCACUAAAAGCAAA